UCCGAUAUGGUGUAACGGCUAACAUUAAGGAUUCUCACUCCUUAGCUCAGGGUUCGAUUCCCUGUAUCGGAG